rnacentral:rRNA from 1 species
GACGAACGCUGGCGGCACGCUUAACACAUGCAAGUCGAACGGUGAAGAGAAGCUUGCUUCUCGGAUCAGUGGCGGACGGGUGAGUAACACGUGAGCAACCUGCCUUUAAGAGGGGGAUAACGUUUGGAAACGAACGCUAAUACCGCAUAACAUAGAAGAUCCGCAUGUUUCUUCUAUCAAAGAUUUAUCGCUUAAAGAUGGGCUCGCGUCUGAUUAGCUAGUUGGUGAGGUAACGGCUCACCAAGGCGACGAUCAGUAGCCGUACUGAGAGGUAGAACGGCCACAUUGGGACUGAGACACGGCCCAGACUCCUACGGGAGGCAGCAGUGGGGAAUAUUGCACAAUGGAGGAAACUCUGAUGCAGCGAUGCCGCGUGAGGGAAGAAGGUUUUCGGAUUGUAAACCUCUGUCUUCAGGGACGAUAAUGACGGUACCUGAGGAGGAAGCUCCGGCUAACUACGUGCCAGCAGCCGCGGUAAUACGUAGGGAGCGAGCGUUGUCCGGAAUUACUGGGUGUAAAGGGAGCAUAGGCGGGAUCUUAAGUCAGGUGUGAAAACUAUGGGCUCAACCCAUAGACUGCACUUGAAACUGAGGUUCUUGAGUGAAGUAGAGGCAGGCGGAAUUCCUAGUGUAGCGGUGAAAUGCGUAGAUAUUAGGAGGAACAUCAGUGGCGAAGGCGGCCUGCUGGGCUUUUACUGACGCUGAGGCUCGAAAGCGUGGGGAGCAAACAGGAUUAGAUACCCUGGUAGUCCACGCUGUAAACGAUGAUUACUAGGUGUGGGGGGACUGACCCCUUCCGUGCCGCAGUUAACACAAUAAGUAAUCCACCUGGGGAGUACGCCGGCAACGGUGAAACUCAAAGGAAUUGACGGGGGCCCGCACAAGCGGAGGAACAUGUGGUUUAAUUCGAUGAUACGCGAGGAACCUUACCCGGGCUUAAAUUGCAAAUGAAUUAUGGGGAAACCCAUACGCCGCAAGGCAUUUGUGAAGGUGCUGCAUGGUUGUCGUCAGCUCGUGCCGUGAGGUGUCGGCUUAAGUGCCAUAACGAGCGCAACCCUUAUCUUCAGUUACUAACAGGUCAUGCUGAGGACUCUGGAGAGACUGCCGUCGUAAGAUGUGAGGAAGGUGGGGAUGACGUCAAAUCAGCACGGCCCUUACGUCCGGGGCUACACACGUGUUACAAUGGGGGGUACAGAAGGCCGCUACCUGGUGACAGGAUGCCAAUCCCAAAAACCUCUCUCAGUUCGGAUCGAAGUCUGCAACCCGACUUCGUGAAGCUGGAUUCGCUAGUAAUCGCGCAUCAGCCAUGGCGCGGUGAAUACGUUCCCGGGCCU